UGGGGAAUAUUGGACAAUGGGGGGAACCCUGAUCCAGCAAUGCCGCGUGAGUGAAGAAGGCCUUAGGGUUGUAAAGCUCUUUCGCCCGCGAAGAUAAUGACGGUAGCGGGAGAAGAAGCCCCGGCUAACUCCGUGCCAGCAGCCGCGGUAAUACGGAGGGGGCUAGCGUUGUUCGGAAUUACUGGGCGUAAAGCGUACGUAGGCGGAUGCGCAAGUUGGGGGUGAAAUCCCGGGGCUUAACCUCGGAAUUGCCCUCAAAACUGCACGUCUUGAGACCGAGAGAGGUAAGGGGAAUUCCUAGUGUAGAGGUGAAAUUCGUAGAUAUUAGGAAGAACACCAGUGGCGAAGGCGCCUUACUGGCUCGGUACUGACGCUGAGGUACGAAAGCGUGGGGAGCAAACA
rnacentral:rRNA from 1 species